rnacentral:tRNA from 1 species
AGGGUUGAAGCUCAGUAGUAGAGUGAUUGCCUAGCAAUCAUGAAGCACUGGGUUCAAUCCCCAGCAAUGCAG